rnacentral:rRNA from 1 species
CCUACGGGUGGCAGCAGUGAGGAAUAUUGGGCAAUGGACGAGAGCCUGAACCAGCCACGUAGCGUGAAGGAUGACUGCCCUAUGGGUUGUAAACUUCUUUUAUAUGGGAAUAAAAUGUUCCACGUGUGGGACUUUGUAUGUACCAUAUGAGUAAGGAUCGGCUAACUCAGUGCCAGCAGCCGCGGUAAUACGGAGGAUCCGAGCGUUAUCCGGAUUUAUUGGGUUUAAAGGGAGCGUAGGUGGAAUGUUAAGUCAGUUGUGAAAGUUUGGGGCUCAACGGUAAAAUUGCAGUUGAAACUGGCAGUCUUGAGUACGUUAGAGGUGAGCGGAAUUCGUGGUGUAGCGGUGAAAUGCUUAGAUAUCAGGAAGAACUCCGAUGGCGAAGGCGGCUCACUGGACUGCAACUGACACUGAGGCUCGAAAGUGUGGGUAUCAAACAGGAUUAGAUACCCCAGUAGUC